rnacentral:rRNA from 1 species
ACGCUAUCACUCCUACGGGAGGCAGCAGUGGGGAAUAUUGCACAAUGGGGAAACCCUGAUGCAGCCAUGCCGCGUGUGUGAAGAAGGCCUUCGGGUUGUAAAGCACUUUCAGUAGGGAGGAAGGUAGUGUAGUUAACACCUGCAUUAUUUGACGUUACCUACAGAAGAAGCACCGGCUAACUCCGUGCCAGCAGCCGCGGUAAUACGGAGGAUCCAAGCGUUAUCCGGAAUCAUUGGGUUUAAAGGGUCCGUAGGUGGAUGAUUAAGUCAGAGGUGAAAGUCUGCAGCUCAACUGUAGAAUUGCCUUUGAUACUGGUUAUCUUGAGUUAUUAUGAAGUAGUUAGAAUAUGUAGUGUAGCGGUGAAAUGCAUAGAUAUUACAUAGAAUACCAAUUGCGAAGGCAGAUUACUAAUAAUAUACUGACACUGAUGGACGAAAGCGUGGGGAGCAAACAGGAUUAGAUACCCUGGUAG